rnacentral:rRNA from 1 species
CAUUACCUAGAGUUGUGGGCUUUGCCUGCUAUCUCUUACCCAUGUCUUUUGAGUACUUACGUUUCCUCGGUGGGUUCGCCCGCCGAUUGGACAAUUUAAACCCUUUGCAGUUGCAAUCAGCGUCUGAAAAACAUAAUAGUUACAACUUUCAACAACGGAUCUCUUGGUUCUGGCAUCGAUGAAGAACGCAGCGAAAUGCGAUAAGUAGUGUGAAUUGCAGAAUUCAGUGAAUCAUCGAAUCUUUGAACGCACAUUGCGCCCCUUGGUAUUCCAUGGGGCAUGCCUGUUCGAGCGUCAUUUGUACCUUCAAGCUUUGCUUGGUGUUGGGUGUUUGUCUCGCCUUUGCGUGUAGACUCGCCUUAAAACAAUUGGCAGCCGGCGUAUUGAUUUCGGAGCGCAGUACAUCUCGCGCUUUGCACUCAUAACGACGACGUCCAAAAGUACUUUUUUACACUCUUGAC